GUCGAGCGGACAGAUGGGAGCUUGCUCCCUGAUGUUAGCGGCGGACGGGUGAGUAACACGUGGGUAACCUGCCUGUAAGACUGGGAUAACUCCGGGAAACCGGGGCUAAUACCGGAUGCUUGUUUGAACCGCAUGGUUCAAACAUAAAAGGUGGCUUCGGCUACCACUUACAGAUGGACCCGCGGCGCAUUAGCUAGUUGGUGAGGUAAUGGCUCACCAAGGCGACGAUGCGUAGCCGACCUGAGAGGGUGAUCGGCCACACUGGGACUGAGACACGGCCCAGACUCCUACGGGAGGCAGCAGUAGGGAAUCUUCCGCAAUGGACGAAAGUCUGACGGAGCAACGCCGCGUGAGUGAUGAAGGUUUUCGGAUCGUAAAGCUCUGUUGUUAGGGAAGAACAAGUACCGUUCGAAUAGGGCGGUACCUUGACGGUACCUAACCAGAAAGCCACGGCUAACUACGUGCCAGCAGCCGCGGUAAUACGUAGGUGGCAAGCGUUGUCCGGAAUUAUUGGGCGUAAAGGGCUCGCAGGCGGUUUCUUAAGUCUGAUGUGAAAGCCCCCGGCUCAACCGGGGAGGGUCAUUGGAAACUGGGGAACUUGAGUGC
rnacentral:rRNA from 1 species